GUCUGCAUCCAUACCACUCUGAAUAAGCCCGAUCCAGUCUGAUCUCAGAAGCUAAGCAGGAUCAGGCCUGGUUAGUACUUGGAUGGGAGACCACCUAAGAAGACCAGGUGCUGUAGGCA
rnacentral:rRNA from 1 species